CUCGUUAUCAGAUCAAAGGCGUUGCUAAAAGGAAGAUGCAACAGGUGGUCUACUUACUCUGCUCUUAAAGAUUUCGUAAUCCCUUCUUUAAAAGGAAAAACAUCUUUUCCCAGGAAUUUUUCAAGAGGCAACGAUUGAAAAAAGCACUACAGGAGAUGCCGCCAAAGUGGCCGAACUUGAGUGUGAAGAUGAAAUUCCAUUUCCGACCCAUGUCCAGCCAUUCAACUAUGACAACUUCAGAAGCGCAGUGGAUAGUCCAUACAACCCAGAUUGGCUGGAAGUGUCUCUCAGCGAAAGUCCACAGUCUGUAAUGACCCAGCAUGAACUGCAAAAACCGACGGACUUUGCACCCCAAAGUAUCGUGACGAGGCCCAUUGGGACGCCACGGUUUGCUAUCAGAAAUGCGUAUGGAGCCAGCGUUUCUGAAAGCCAGCCACCGCAACUCCCAGUACUUGAAUACGAGCAUCCACUGCCUUCUGACGCACAGAUACCGACCGGACAGCCCGAACAAUGCGCGUCAACCUCCUUCCAAGGCAGACGGACGAGACAAGGUGGAGGCGGCAGCAAUGGCGCGUCAUGUUCUUCCUCCACCCUCGAUUCCAUGAUCAGCAGCCCCAUAUCCGUGACCAGCCGGGUCAGCGAGCCACGAAGCUACGGAAUGGAGACUCAAGUUUCAGAGGAAAGUGUGUUUGGUUAUAGUUUAGUUUAUUUUCUUUUUUACCAUUUAGGAGAUCUGCAACCCAAAACUCUCAAAGCCCCAGACACGGUCAAAAGUGUCUGCGCAACAAAAACGAUCCCUGCAGCUGAAAGUUUUGUACAG